CCUACGGGAGGCAGCAGUGAGGAAUAUUGGUCAAUGGGCGCGAGACUGAACCAGCCAAGUAGCGUGAAGGAUGACGGCCCUAUGGGUUGUAAACUUCUUUUAUAAAGGGAUAAAACGAGGCACGUGUGCCUUUUUGCAUGUAAUUUAUGAAUAAGGCUCGGCUAACUCCGUGCCAGCAGCCGCGGUAAUACGGAGGAUCCGAGCGUUAUCCGGAUUUAUUGGGUUUAAAGGGAGCGUAGAUGGGUUGUUAAGUCAGUUGUGAAAGUUUGCGGCUCAACCGUAAAAUUGCAAUUGAUACUGGCAGGCGUGAGUACAGUUGAGGUAGGCGGAAUUCGUGGUGUAGCGGUGAAAUGCUUAGAUAUCACGAAGAACCCCGAUUGCGAAGGCAGCUUACUAAACUGUGACUGACAUUGAUGCUCGAAAGUGUGGGUAUCAAACAGGAUUAGAUACCCCUGUAGUC
rnacentral:rRNA from 1 species